rfam:Myotis lucifugus cont2.42769, whole genome shotgun sequence.
GACGGUCCUUGGGUGACACACCCCGGAAUCAGGCUCAUUCCUCUCUGGUUCCAGGCUGGGUCACCUGAGAACCACC